rnacentral:rRNA from 1 species
AUUGAACGCUGGCGGCAUGCCUUACACAUGCAAGUCGAACGGUAACAGGUUAAGCUGACGAGUGGCGAACGGGUGAGUAAUAUAUCGGAACGUGCCCAGUCGUGGGGGAUAACGUAGCGAAAGCUACGCUAAUACCGCAUACGAUCUACGGAUGAAAGCGGGGGACCGCAAGACCUCGCGCGAUUGGAGCGGCCGAUAUCAGAUUAGGUUGUUGGUGAGGUAAAAGCUCACCAAGCCUGCGAUCUGUAGCUGGUCUGAGAGGACGACCAGCCACACUGGAACUGAGACACGGUCCAGACUCCUACGGGAGGCAGCAGUGGGGAAUUUUGGACAAUGGACGCAAGUCUGAUCCAGCAAUGCCGCGUGCAGGACGAAGGCCUUCGGGUUGUAAACUGCUUUUGUACGGAACGAAACGGUGAGCUCUAAUACAGUUUGCUAAUGACGGUACCGUAAGAAUAAGCACCGGCUAACUACGUGCCAGCAGCCGCCGUAA